UAACCCUGCGUAAAACUGCUUUAACCGAGACCUAUGAGCAGUAUAAGCAAUAGUCUCUCAUAUCCGAAAGUGAAGGGAUUUUCGGAAAUAAGUUUCGCA
rnacentral:ncRNA from 1 species